rnacentral:rRNA from 1 species
GAAUAUUGGACAAUGGGCGCAAGCCUGAUCCAGCCAUGCCGCGUGUGUGAAGAAGGCCUUCGGGUUGUAAAGCACUUUAAGUUGGGAGGAAGGUUUCUUGGCUAAUAUCCAAGAGAAUUGACGUUACCACCAGAAUAAGCACCGGCUAAGUCCGUCCCAGCAGCCGCGGUAAUACGGAAGGUGCGAGCGUUAAUCGGAAUUACUGGGCGUAAAGCGCACGUAGGUGGCUACUUAAGUCGGAUGUGAAAGCCCUGGGCUUAACCUGGGAAGUGCAUCCGAUACUGGGUGGCUAGAGUACGGUAGAGGGAGGUGGAAUUCCAGGUGUAGCGGUGAAAUGCGUAGAGAUCUGGAGGAACACCGGUGGCGAAGGCGGCCUCCUGGACUGAUACUGACACUGAGGUGCGAAAGCGUGGGGAGCAAACAGGA